ACUGCUUUUCUUUGAAAUCCCCAAGUUGAGGAGCCCGCCAGUCACUGACUGACGGGUUUUUUUAU
rnacentral:sRNA from 1 species